GUACUCCUGCCGUGUUCGAGAAAGUAUGGUUUUUAUAAUCCAACACUUUUUAAAAGGGACGCCAAGCUCCGGUACUGGAUUGCAGACCUCCCGCAGCGUGAAUUUCACGUCUGUGGACGAAGGGAGCGUGAAGGUGCUGGGCAGCAACCCACCUGUCCAUACGACGGGUUUUAACUUGCCAUGGCGACGGCACGGUGGGGUAUCU
rfam:Clostridium sp. CAG:242 genomic scaffold, scf131